AGCUCCAAUAGCGUAUAUUAAUGUUGUUGCAGUUAAAAAGCUCGUAGUUGGAUUCCUGACCUGGGGUAGCCGGUCCGCCUUGCAAAAGGUGCGCACUGAGCGGCCUCGGUCAUCCUUGAGAAGAGCGGUCCUGGCAUUCAGUUGUCGGGGUCGGGAUUCUCGACGUUUACUGUGAAAAAUUAGAGUGUUCAAAGCAGGCUUAUGCCGUUGAAUAUAUUAGCAUGGAAUAAUGAGAUAGGACCUUGGUCUAUUUUGUUGGUUAGUUUACCGAGGUAAUGAUUAAUAGGGACAGUUGGGGGUAUUCGUAUUCCAUUGUCAGAGGUGAAAUUCUUGGAUUUCUGGAAGACGAACUACUGCGAAAGCAUUUACCAAGGAUGUUUUCA
rnacentral:rRNA from 1 species